AGGGGAAUAGCUCAGCGGUUAGAGCAGUGGUCUCAUAAACCUCAGGUCGAGAGUUCGAUCCUCUCUUCCCCUA
rnacentral:tRNA from 1 species